UUGGGAGCUCACUGGCUUUGGAUUUCAUGCGAACUCUGAAGUUAAGCAAGUUUGGACUAGAGCAAUCCCAAGAUGGGUGAUCCACUGGGAAGUUGCUCGUGAGUUCCCAAA
rnacentral:rRNA from 1 species